rnacentral:tRNA from 1 species
GCUGUUGUAGCUCAGUGGUAGAGCACUUCCUUGGUAAGGAAGAGGUCGUGAGUUCAAUCCUCAUCAACAGCUCCA